rnacentral:sRNA from 1 species
UUUCAAAAACAUUAUUAAAUUUGAUAGAAGUGAUAAAAUUUCUAGUUUUUCUACACGUAGACUGGAUGAUAUUGUAACGCAUAUCUAUGUGAAUGGAUAAACACCUGCCCUCAUUUAUAUUUGUCUAUCAUUCAAUGUUGGUUUACAAUUAGAUCAUGUACAAAAAAAACACUAGCAUUAGUGGAUAAUGCGUACGUGUGUGUGGGCGUUACGGGUGACGAUGUCACCUUACUUACCAUCACAUAAUUGUUUGUUCCAACGACUUUAAAUAGAAUUUGGUACACUUCGUCAUAGCUUAUACGCACGACAUCACCCACUGUAACCUGCUUUCUCUUAAAAAAGUAAUUUAUUUAAUCGAAAGCUGAUUUUUAAACACAAGCCAAAAACAAACAGAUCUUGGUGUUCUACUACAGAUAAAUAUGACUACUUUGGUGCAAAGGCUACGUGAACGAUCAGACCCAAAACCUCAAAUAAGUCCAAAGAAGAUGACUUUGUUCGAGAACAAGAUCAGACCACGGAAUAUGUUAAAAAUGGUUAAUCGAAAGUGAAUUGGUUUGUCUUUCAAUUUCAACUAUACGUUUAAUCUGUUCAAUGGAUUGAUCAUGUUCUAGAACAAAAUUAUCUUCAUCAAAAUAAUUUGGUGUAUAAAUAGGUUUACGGCAUGAUCAUAUAAGUUGCCUCUCAACCAAAGUAGCCAUAUUUAUAUGCAUUAAAACACAAUAAGAAUUGUGUCCAAUCAACAAAAUCAAAAUUUUAUAGACAAAUCGUAAUAAUCACUUAGAAAAAUAUCAAUGUUGAUAGUCACAAUUUGAGACAAUUUAGGUCUCAAAACGCUUACUAGAAAAGAUCUACACAACAAACAGAAGUUUGAGAUCCUGAUCAGCGUAUGAAAUUUCAAAAACCUAAGUCGGAAACUCAAUUGAUAUUUGGUGAAUCCUUUAUUAAACAAAGUAGAAGUGUUAUUUAUCAAACAUAAUAACUAGGAUU